GGAUCAGCUAACCCCGGCCAAGGAAGCCAUUUAUGGGUUCACAAACACAAAGGCCCCAGUAAUAGGAGCCAUCGAUCUACAGAUAUCCCUUGGAAAAAGAAACGGAAGAGUAUCACGCACGGCACACUUCAUCGUGGUCAAUAUAGACUCUCCGUUCAAUGGGAUCUUGGGCAGACCAAGCAUUCGCGGUUUCAAGGCAAUACCGUUAUCUUACCACCAAUGCUUUAGGUACCCAGGAAAAGAUGGCAAAAUG
rnacentral:lncRNA from 1 species